CCUACGGGAGGCAGCAGUGAGGAAUAUUGGUCAAUGGCCGAGAGGCUGAACCAGCCAUGCCGCGUGCGGGAGGACGGCCCUAUGGGUUGUAAACCGCUUUUUUGUGGGAGCAAUAAGUCUUACGUGUAGGACGAUGAGAGUACCAUGAGAAUAAGCAUCGGCUAACUCCGUGCCAGCAGCCGCGGUAAUA
rnacentral:rRNA from 1 species